AGAAAUCACCCGUCUUCUGCGUCAAUCACGCUGAGAACUGCAGACCAGAGCUGUUCCUAUUUGGCCAUCUUGGAACCGGUCUGAGUCUGUUUUAGCCAGAUCAAGUACUUGGUGAGAGAACCUUUGUGGGAGCGCAGAAGUCCAGCAGAGAGACCCUAGCACUUUAUUUGGACCAAAAAAUAAAUAAUAAAUAAAUAAAUAAAUAAAUCCAAAACUAGAUGCAUUAAAGAAGGUAAGAACAGUUUUACUUUACCUGUGUCACCCCUCCCCCAGUGUGGCACAGAUCAGUGCCAAGAGAGACCGCUUCAGCCCAGUUUCUUCCACAGGGGAAAAUGAGAACAGUGAGUGCCUAAUUUCCUCAGCUGUAGGAUGCUGUAGAAGAGACCCACUUCUGCCUCACCCAUUUGAGAACCCUGAGGGAAUCAGUAUGGCUGAAUAAUCUGGGGGUAGCUAGGAGCAGGGAAAAGGGGCAGCACUCACAGCAACCUGAGUAUGGAAUUCAGCAAAGAGCCACAGUUUCUAUUAACUACCUCCCAAAUUCCAUCAAGAGGGCCAGCCACAAACUACAUAGGAUGCAUAAUCUGCAGAUCCCCUGACUAGCCCAUGUGUGCUUCCAACCUUCUGCAUGCCCUUCCCCCAUGUAGCUGGCACCCUGAAUGCACCCCCAUGGAUAGCAUGUACAAGCUUCUGCAGAUUGUGCAUGAGAACAUGAAGAUAACUAACUUGAUUCAGGAUUGGAAGGAAGUGACUAAUCUUGAAUUUUUCAAGGCACUUCCUAGGGAAGAUAAACAGGAGGCUUACAUUGCACCUGGCCUGACUUUUGCAAGAUCAAGAGAAGGAAUAUGCUGUAAUUUGAAUGAAAAUUUAACAUUUAAAAUUUAUGUUGAAGCUGAAUACUCAAUGCAAUAGUACUAAGAAGUCUAACCUUUGGGAGGUGAUUAAGUCAUGAUGACUCUUCUCACUUGAAUGGGAUGAGCACUCAUAAAAGAUGUCAAGGUUUAUGGGAGUUCUCUUUUGCCCUUCCAUCCCUUCUGCCAGGUUAGACUUCUCCUAUGGAGAAUGCAGCAAGAAAAUACCAUCUUGAAGCAGAGAGCAGCGCUCAUCAGGCAUCAGUCCUUCUGGAGCCUUGAUCUUGGACCUCCCAGCUCCAAAAUAAUAAGUAAUAAAUUGUUAUUGCUUAUAAAUUA
rnacentral:lncRNA from 1 species